UGAGGAAUAUUGCGCAAUGGGCGAAAGCCUGACGCAGCAACGCCGCGUGGAGGAUGAAGGCUUUCGGGUUGUAAACUCCUUUCAGGGGGGACGAAGUAGUUGGGUAACCAAUUGGACGGUACCUCCAGAAGAAGCCACGGCUAACUCUGUGCCAGCAGCCGCGGUAAGACAGAGGUGGCGAGCGUUGUUCGGAUUUACUGGGCGUAAAGGGUGCGUAGGCGGUUGAAUAAGAUGUGCGAGAAAGCUCACGGCUUAACUGUGAAAGUUUGCACAUGACUAUUUGACUAGAGAAUGGGAGAGGAAAGCGGAAUUCCCGGUGGAGCGGUGAAAUGCGUAGAUAUCGGGAGGAAGGCCUGUGGCGAAGGCGGCUUUCUGGAACAUUUCUGACGCUGAAGUACGAGAGCGUGGGGAGCAAACAGG
rnacentral:rRNA from 1 species